rnacentral:rRNA from 1 species
GACGAACGCUGGCGGCGUGCCUAAUACAUGCAAGUAGAACGCUGAAGGAGGAGCUUGCUUCUCUGGAUGAGUUGCGAACGGGUGAGUAACGCGUAGGUAACCUGCCUGGUAGCGGGGGAUAACUAUUGGAAACGAUAGCUAAUACCGCAUAAGAGUAGAUGUUGCAUGACAUUUGCUUAAAAGGUGCAAUUGCCUCACUACCAGAUGGACCUGCGUUGUAUUAGCUAGUUGGUGGGGUAACGGCUCACCAAGGCGACGAUACAUAGCCGACCUGAGAGGGUGAUCGGCCACACUGGGACUGAGACACGGCCCAGACUCCUACGGGAGGCAGCAGUAGGGAAUCUUCGGCAAUGGACGGAAGUCUGACCGAGCAACGCCGCGUGAGUGAAGAAGGUUUUCGGAUCGUAAAGCUCUGUUGUAAGAGAAGAACGAGUGUGAGAGUGGAAAGUUCACACUGUGACGGUAUCUUACCAGAAAGGGACGGCUAACUACGUG